UAAUUGAAACAGUAAAAUAGGAUUUCACUGAGAAUCAGUGAGUAUUUCACUGAACUUCAGUAGAAUGUUUACUUUUUGUUUCUUUAUCUUAUAUUUCACUGAUUAUGGUCAGUGAAAGUAAGAUGUUACUGUAAAAUCAGUUAUCUGUUGGUAAUACUGAUUGAUGGUGCGAGGAAGCGGAACAGGAUUGUGAUCUCAGUGAUGUGUGAAACAGAAGACGAGAACGAAGUAUACGUGACGAAGGACGAAGCGGUGCUAAGUGUACAUUACGAAGAAUGAGAGAAACUGCGGUACUGAGCUAAGCGUGCUUGCAAAAAAGGUGAGGUUAAAACAUAAACCACGGCGUAUUGAACGAGAGAACUGAACAGCAAACAGAAUAAGAUUAUUAAUCUCGGUUAUCGUUGGAAACUUAUCAAAAGGAAAGAACAUUGAUAAGGGACAACAUGAUGAUCCUCC